GCCGAUGUGGCACAGUGGUAGUGGUCUCGCUUCAUAGGCGUGCGGUGCGGUGCGGGUUUGCUCCCCGCCAUCGUCG
rnacentral:tRNA from 1 species